rnacentral:rRNA from 2 species
CGAACGCUGGCGGCGUGCCUAAUACAUGCAAGUCGAACGAACUCUGGUAUUGAUUGGUGCUUGCAUCAUGAUUUACAUUUGAGUGAGUGGCGAACUGGUGAGUAACACGUGGGAAACCUGCCCAGAAGCGGGGGAUAACACCUGGAAACAGAUGCUAAUACCGCAUAACAACUUGGACCGCAUGGUCCGAGUUUGAAAGAUGGCUUCGGCUAUCACUUUUGGAUGGUCCCGCGGCGUAUUAGCUAGAUGGUGGGGUAACGGCUCACCAUGGCAAUGAUACGUAGCCGACCUGAGAGGGUAAUCGGCCACAUUGGGACUGAGACACGGCCCAAACUCCUACGGGAGGCAGCAGUAGGGAAUCUUCCACAAUGGACGAAAGUCUGAUGGAGCAACGCCGCGUGAGUGAAGAAGGGUUUCGGCUCGUAAAACUCUGUUGUUAAAGAAGAACAUAUCUGAGAGUAACUGUUCAGGUAUUGACGGUAUUUAACCAGAAAGCCACGGCUAACUACGUGCCAGCAGCCGCGGUAAUACGUAGGUGGCAAGCGUUGUCCGGAUUUAUUGGGCGUAAAGCGAGCGCAGGCGGUUUUUUAAGUCUGAUGUGAAAGCCUUCGGCUCAACCGAAGAAGUGCAUCGGAAACUGGGAAACUUGAGUGCAGAAGAGGACAGUGGAACUCCAUGUGUAGCGGUGAAAUGCGUAGAUAUAUGGAAGAACACCAGUGGCGAAGGCGGCUGUCUGGUCUGUAACUGACGCUGAGGCUCGAAAGUAUGGGUAGCAAACAGGAUUAGAUACCCUGGUAGUCCAUACCGUAAACGAUGAAUGCUAAGUGUUGGAGGGUUUCCGCCCUUCAGUGCUGCAGCUAACGCAUUAAGCAUUCCGCCUGGGGAGUACGGCCGCAAGGCUGAAACUCAAAGGAAUUGACGGGGGCCCGCACAAGCGGUGGAGCAUGUGGUUUAAUUCGAAGCUACGCGAAGAACCUUACCAGGUCUUGACAUACUAUGCAAAUCUAAGAGAUUAGACGUUCCCUUCGGGGACAUGGAUACAGGUGGUGCAUGGUUGUCGUCAGCUCGUGUCGUGAGAUGUUGGGUUAAGUCCCGCAACGAGCGCAACCCUUAUUAUCAGUUGCCAGCAUUAAGUUGGGCACUCUGGUGAGACUGCCGGUGACAAACCGGAGGAAGGUGGGGAUGACGUCAAAUCAUCAUGCCCCUUAUGACCUGGGCUACACACGUGCUACAAUGGAUGGUACAACGAGUUGCGAACUCGCGAGAGUAAGCUAAUCUCUUAAAGCCAUUCUCAGUUCGGAUUGUAGGCUGCAACUCGCCUACAUGAAGUCGGAAUCGCUAGUAAUCGCGGAUCAGCAUGCCGCGGUGAAUACGUUCCCGGGCCUUGUACACACCGCCCGUCACACCAUGAGAGUUUGUAACACCCAAAGUCGGUGGGGUAACCUUUUAGGAACCAGCCGCCUAAGGUGGGACAGAUG